rnacentral:rRNA from 1 species
AAUGAAAAGCCAGCUUGCUGGCAUUGUAGUUGAGCGACCUUGGGGUGUCAGUCUGGGUAAGUCGCAUGGAAAUGCGUGCCGUGGAGGGUGAGAGCCCCGUCCAUCCCAUUCAGGACACUCCGCACAAGGGCGUUUCAGACGAGUCGGGUAGCUUGGGAAUGCUGCUCUAAUUGGUGGUAAAUCUCAUCAAAGGCUAAAUAACGGUGGGAGACCGAUAGCGAACAAGUACCGUGAGGGAAAGAUGACAAGCACUUUGAAAAGAGGGUGAAAAGAGCCUGAAACCGUUACGGGGGAAGCGGAUUGCGUUGGCCUGGUGGCCGCCUGUGUGUUCAGCCUUUUGGGUGCAUUGAUGCAGGUGGUUAUCCGUCGUGGCUUCUCGGGGGUCGAAUUUGGGCCGCUGGGGGGUGAGGGCUCCCCUUUAAUUUGGGUGAGGACGACGGAGUGACGACGCGAUACGACCCGUCUUGAAACACGGACCAAGGAGUCUAGCGCGGGUGCGAGUCGGAGGGUGUGAAAACCCGUGGGCGAAGUGAAAGCGAGUUUUAAAAACGAGCAGUUUGGGGCGGCAUAGAAUCGUUGAUUCUAGGUCCGACCUUGAGCAGUUGCGCUGGGACCCGAAAGAUGGUGAACUAUGCCGGAGUAGGGCAAAGCCAGAAGAAAUUCUGGUGGAGGCUCGUAGCGGUGCUGACGUGCAAAUCGCUCGUCGAACUUGGGUAUAGGGGCGAAAGACUAAUCGAACCAUCUAGUAGCUGGUUCCCUCCGAAGUUUCUCUCAGGAUAGCAGGCCGACAAGUUGUUUUGUGCGGUAAAGCGAAUGAUUAGCGUACUCGGGGACGUUUAGUCUUUGGACGAUUCUCAAACUUUCAAUGCGCAAGGGUACCGGUGCUUUGUUGAGCGGUACCGAUAAAAACGUCGGCCUUGUGGGCCACUUUUGGUAAGCAGAACUGGCGAUACGGGAUGAACCGUAAGCAUGGUUAAGGUGCCAAACUGCCCGCUUAUAGAUCCCACAAAAGGUGUUGAUUCAUCGAGACAGCAGGACGGUGGCCAUGGAAGUCGGAAUCCGCCAAGGAGUGUGUAACAACUCACCUGCCGAAUGAAUUAGCCCUGAAAAUGGAUGGCGCUUAAGCGGGCGACCGACACCAUGCCGUCUGUGAAAUGUAUUUCAGAUGAGUAGGAGGGCGUGGCGGCCGUGUCGAAGCGUGCUUGCAGAGGCAUGUGGAACGGCCGCUAGUGCAGAUCUUGGUGGUAGUAGCAAAUAUUCAAGCGAGAUCCUUGAAGGGCGAAGCGGGGAAGGGUUCCACGCGAACAUUGAUUGGGCGUGGGUGAGUCGUUCCUAAGCCGAGUGGCGAUUGCUAAGUAGCGGCGAAAGGGAAGCGGGUUGACAUUCCCGCACACGGAUGUGGAGGCGGUGACGCUUUAUUGGGGCGAACACGCUGGCGGUGGCGCUGGGCAGAGUUGUCUUUUCUGUUUGACCGCUGAUGCACGCGGUGUGGAAUCCGCUUGUCGGGAGAAACACGCGUGUACGGGCAGAGCGCCGGGGCUUUUCCGGCGUCCAGCUCGCCACCGACGGCCCUUGAAACUUUGCCUGCUGGUAUUUUUAAUAAAGAUCCACGCCGUGGCGUACCGAUCACCGCAUCAGGUCCCCAAGGUGAACAGCCUCUGCUCGAUAUGAACAAUGCAGGUAAGGGAAGUCGGCAAAUUGGACCCGUAACUUUGGGAAAAGGGUUGGCUCUAGUGCUGCGUGGGAGUGGUUGUCGAGUGUUGGUGUGUCUAGGCUUGCUGGAAUGAGCGCGGGCCCUUCGGGGACUGUGUUUAUCUGGCGGGCCCGGGCGCGCCACGCUCGACGACGCCCACAGCAUGCAGCAGACUAGAACUGCAACGGGCAAAGGGAAUCCGACUGUUUAAUUAAAACAAAGCAUUGCGAGGGCCGUGGCCGGUGAUGACGCA